rnacentral:lncRNA from 1 species
UAACUAAAAAGGCUAUUUCAAUAAGACAAUGACCACGACCAAUAUGUCCCAAAUCCCAGAUACAGAUUUGGAUCUACACAUCCCUCCAAAGUCACCAGACAUCACCACUCUAGCUAACUCGGAGGGAGAAAUAUACAAAACACCCUCAUUCAAAGAAAAACUUCUAGCCCAUGAAUCAAUGGCAGACCCCAAUCAAAUGCAACUUGAUACUCCCAUAUCCCACUUGCAGCACGAAAUCCUACCUCCGGCAAUGGACACUAUGGGCAUCAUAGACCCAACCAAAUACAUCAUCAAACAUAUCAAAGAAAUCAAUCUCACUGAAGAGGAUCGAAAUCAAAUGUACACCCUAUGAAAAUACUCUCUUAUCAAUGAAUUUACAAAGUCUUAAAAAAGAUGAACAAAUUUACAAAUAGAACUAUUAAUAACGAAUUAGAUAUUAUUCUCACUUUACAAUGAGAAAGAAACACUUAUAAAUUUAUAAUCACAAGAUGGAAUAAACAAUCAAAGUAGAACAAUAUAUCUACUUUAUGCCAAACGGAUAAGAAUAUGAAUAAAAAUGGUAGUAGAAAAUAUUACAAAAAUGACUUAUUGCUUCUAAUAUUUCUCAUUUCAAAGCUACACUUUCAUUUUUAAAAAAUGCUACACUUUGGCUAUUGUGCCUAGAUUAAUGUCUUUUUAGUUUCUUCCCAAUUGACUAAUUAAAUAUACUGUCUGAAUUUCUUGGAACAAACUUUACAAUUCAUGUCAAACAUUAAGAUACGAUGAUAGAGCUUUCAUUCUAUUUUUCUAGCAAGAUCACUGCCAGUCUUUUUAUGAUCUCUGUAAGAUUUAUUAUGAAUGAAAAUUUAAAAAAUGAGAAUUUUGAGAAAAGAAAUUAGAGUGUUGGAAAGACACGUAUUUAUGUCACUCAUUUGAAGGAACUUAUGAGUAAUGAACGUUAGAAGAAAGUAGAAUUUAGACAAAGAAAUAAGAAAUAUAAAAACUGAAAAGUGUUAAACAUAAAUGCAUAAUAAAUCUAUUCCUUAGGAAAUGUAAGAUAGACGCUUCGUUAGCUUCCAACUAAGUAACUUGCAAAGAGUAGCAUUUUAGUACUCAUGUGUACAAUAAAGCAAGAUUUUUCAUUUGCCAUAACAACAAAGCUAAUAAGCAAAAACGAAGAGAAUAUUGGUUAAGAAUUUGUUAACUAAAGAUGAAGUAGGAGCAAAGGAGAAAAAUUAUGCAUUCAGCUUAGGCUAAGCAUUAAACCACCCAGGUAGUAUAUAAAGCAAUUUGAAUUGUAUCUUCUACAUUCUUAUGUACUGAUCUUUUGCGGUAGAAUUGAGAUGAAAAGUAUCCAAUAAAAGAAGUUAGCAUCUUCCAUAUCCCAUACAAACGACAAACUUGUAUAUUUUAAAAUAAAAAAAUGAAACAAAUAUUUUCCCACUCCAAAAUCAAGUUCCAAAAAUAAGAUAUUCUACUAUGAAUUGAAUUGACCCACAUAAAUUAAUCAAUUUAUUCAAUUUUUACUCUAUUAUACUCGUAUAUUCUAUAAAUUAUCAUCAAAAUAUUAAAUCACUUGUUCAAUAACCACAUCUUCAAAUCUUCGAGUAAAAUUCUCUUUUUUCCUUUACAUUAGAUCAUUAAAUAAUUUAAUCAUAAUGUCAAAGAGAAAACUGAAUUAUAAAUUCAAGGUUUUAUGAAAACAAAGAUGUUACAAACUUGAAAUAAAAAAAUACAAACAAAAGGAAUAUAUUUGCUUAAUUACCUUGAGAUUUGCUGAGUGAGAGGAUUAAACUUAUUAUGUUAUCGACAAUAAAAAGUGAAGAUAAAAAAACCAUUGCAUAAAUCUAUCUUAACUCGAUACUUUUAGAAGAAAAUUACAACUCAAUGCUUCAACUUAUAUAAGGCAUAAUCCAACAAUGACAAAAUCAAAGACCGUUAAACAUUUUGGAACACGGUUAUUACUUCGAUCUUGGCCUUAUCUUUCAGCACUUCCUUUGAUACAUUACUCUUAAAAAUUACACUUGUAUGAAAUAUUCUCACCAGUUGAUGAAGUGCAUUUGGCUGACUGGCACCGAAGGCCAUCUUUAAAAUAUGUGUGCACUAUUUUCACAUCCAUCUUUACCCUAUUUCAGUAAGAUCCAUAUCUCUUUGCCUUACGUAGAAUUUACCGGUCUCUCCAAUUCUGCAAACGUCUCGGAAUAUGCUUUGUUGAAGGGAAUAAGUGACUGGAUUUCUCAUUUCAUAGUUCAUAUAUACUUCAUAGGCAACAAUAUUUUUCAAUCAAUGUAGGAAGUGUACAAGAAUAUACUGAACAUUUUUCACUUAUGAGCAACUGUAUUUAAAAAAGCUUUCACACAUGGAAUGCA